rnacentral:rRNA from 1 species
AGCGAACGCUGGCAGCAGGCCUAACACAUGCAAGUCGAACGAACUCUUCGGAGUUAGUGGCGGACGGGUGAGUAACACGUGGGAACGUGCCUUUUGGUUCGGAAUAACUCAGGGAAACUUGUGCUAAUACCGAAUGUGCCCUUCGGGGGAAAGAUUUAUCGCCAUUAGAGCGGCCCGCGUCUGAUUAGCUAGUUGGUGAGGUAACGGCUCACCAAGGCGACGAUCAGUAGCUGGUCUGAGAGGAUGACCAGCCACACUGGGACUGAGACACGGCCCAGACUCCUACGGGAGGCAGCAGUGGGGAAUCUUGCGCAAUGGGCGAAAGCCUGACGCAGCCAUGCCGCGUGAAUGAUGAAGGUCUUAGGAUUGUAAAAUUCUUUCACCGGGGACGAUAAUGACGGUACCCGGAGAAGAAGCCCCGGCUAACUUCGUG